rnacentral:rRNA from 1 species
ACGAACGCUGGUGGUAUGCUUAACACAUGCAAGUCGAACAGGUAUAGCAAUAUAUCAGUGGCAAACGGGUGAGUAAUAUAUAGGAAUCUACCUAGCAGUAAGGAAUAACUUUGGGAAACCAGAGCUAAUGCCAUAUAUUACCAAUUUAUUGGGAAGAUUCAUCGCUGUUAGAUGAGCCUGUAUCGGAUUAGCUAGUUGGUAGGGUAAUGGCCUACCAAGGCGAUGGUCCGUAGCUGAUCUGAGAGGAUGAUCAGCCACAUUGGGACUGCGACACGGCCCAAACUCCUACGGGAGGCAGCAGUGGGGAAUAUUGGACAAUGGGCGCAAGCCUGAUCCAGCAAUACCACGUGAGUGAUGAAGGCCUUCGGGUUGUAAAACUCUUUUAGUAGGGAAGAUAAUGACGGUACCUACAGAAAAAGCACCGGCUUAACUUCGUGCCAGCAGCCGCGGUAAUACGAAGGGUGCUAGCGUUGUUCGGAAUCAUUGGGCGUAAAGCGUGCGUAGGCGGUCUGAAAAGUCAACUGUGAAAGCCCAGAGCUUAACUUUGGAAUUGCGGUCGAAACUGCCAGACUUGAAUAUGGUCGGGGAUAGUGGAAUUCCUAGUGUAGGGGUGAAAUCCGUAGAUAUUAGGAGGAACACCGGUGGCGAAAGCGACUAUCUAGGCCAUUAUUGACGCUGAGGCACGAAAGUGUGGGGAGCAAACAGGAUUAGAUACCCUGGUAGUCCACACUGUAAACGAUGAGUGCUAAUUGUCGGGACUUUGGGUCUCGGUGGUGAAGCUAACGCGUUAAGCACUCCGCCUGGGGAGUACGGCCGCAAGGCUAAAACUCAAAGGAAUUGACGGGACCCGCACAAGCAGUGGAGCAUGUGUUUUUAAUUCGAUGCUACACGAAAAACCUUACCAGCUCUUGAAUCCUCACUAUGAUUUCCAGAAAUGGAUUUCUUCACUUCGGGUGGGUGAGAGACAGGUGUUGCAUGGCUGUCGUCAGCUCGUGUCGUGAGAUGUUAGGUUAAGUCCUUCAACGAGCGCAACCCUCAUCCUUAUUUGCCAUCAGGUUAUGCUGGGAACUAUAAGGAAACUGCAACGACAAGUUGGAGGAAGGUGGGGAUGAUGUCAAGUCAUCAUGGCCCUUAUGGGCUGGGCUACACACAUACUACAAUGGUGGUUACAACGGGAUGCCAAGCAGCAAUGCGGAGCCAACCCUUCAAAAGCCAUCUCAGUUCAGAUCGGGGGCUGCAACUCGCCCCCGUGAAGUCGGAAUUGCUAGUAUCGCGGAUCAGCAUGCCGCGGUGAAUACGUUCUCGGGUCUUGUACACACUGCCCGUCAAGCCAUGGAAGCUGUUGCUCUACCCUGAAUAGGGUGAGCUAACCGCAAGGAGGUAGCCCUACACGGUAGGAAGAGUGACUGGGGUU